CCUACGGGAGGCAGCAGUGAGGAAUAUUGGUCAAUGGACGCGAGUCUGAACCAGCCAAGCAGCGUGAAGGAUGACUGCCCUAUGGGUUGUAAACUUCUUUUAUAUGGGAAUAAAAUGUUCCACGUGUGGGAUUUUGUAUGUACCAUAUGAAUAAGGAUCGGCUAACUCCGUGCCAGCAGCCGCGGUAAUACGGAGGAUCCGAGGGUAAUGCGGAUUUAUUGGGGUUAAAGGGAGCGUAGGUGGAUUGUUAAGUCAGUUGUGAAAGUUUGCGGCUCAACCGUAAAAUUGCAGUUGAAACUGGCAGGCUUGAGUAUAGUAGAGGUGGGCGGAAUUCGUGGUGUAGCGGUGAAAUGCGUAGAGAUCACGAAGAACUCCGAUUGCGAAGGCAGCUCACUGGAC
rnacentral:rRNA from 1 species